rnacentral:sRNA from 1 species
GUCGAUGACCCGUGGUCGGCGCCGCCAUAUCGGACAGGACGAUAUCAGGAGCUCCGCCGAUCGCCUGUUUCAGGUU